UCAAGAAACUUCCACAAUGGGCGAAAGCCUGAUGGAGCGACGUCGCGUGAUGGACGAAGUGCUUCGGCACGUAAACAUCUUUUAUGUGGGAUGAAAUUAUUGACAGUACCGCAUGAAUAAGGGGCUCCUAACUCUGUGCCAGCAGGAGCGGUAAUACAGAGGCCCCAAGCGUUAUCCGGAAUCACUGGGCGUAAAGGGUGUCGAGGCGGUUGUAUUAGUCGUUCGUAAAAUCUACGAGCUUAACUUGUAGGCGGCGAACGAAACGGUACGACUUGAGGUUUGGAGAGGUGCGUGGAACUCACGGUGUAGGGGUGAAAUCCGUUGAUAUCGUGGGGAACACCAAGGGCGAAGGCAGCGCACUGGCCAAAAUCUGACGCUCACACACGAAAGCUAGGGUAGCGAAGAGGAUUAGAUACCCAUGUAGUCCCUGAGCGGGCUGGCAAGGCGCAU
rnacentral:rRNA from 1 species